rnacentral:rRNA from 1 species
AAGGAUAAGCCAUGCAUGUCUCAGUACAAACAAAACAAAAGUGAAACCGCGAAUGGCUCAUUAAAUCAGCUAUGAUUCAUUGGAUCUGUACACCCAUGUUUUCCUUGGAUAACUGUGGUAAUUCUAGAGCUAAUACAUGCCCGUAUAGCCCCCUGACCUGACGGAAAGGGAGCGAUUAUUAGUAUCAAAAACGAUGACAGACUUGAAUGUUAAAUGUCUGUAAAAAAAUCAAUUGGUGACUCUAAAUAAUUUCGAGCUGAGCGCACGGUCUUUGCACUGGUGCCGCUUCUUUCAAGUGUCUGCCUUAUCAGCUCUCGAUUGUAGAUUAUGUGCCUACAAUGGCUAUAACGGGUAACGGGGAAUCAGGGUUCGAUUCCGGAGAGGGAGCCUGAGAAACAGCUACCACAUCCAAGGAAGGCAGCAGGCACGCAAAUUACCCACUCCCGGCAUGGGGAGGUAGUGACGAAAAAUAAUGAUGUGAGACUCAUCCGAGGCCUCGCAAUCAGAAUGAGUACACUUUAAAUCCUUUUGCGAGGAUCCAUUGGAGGGCAAGUCUGGUGCCAGCAGCCGCGGUAAUUCCAGCUCCAAUAGCAUAUAUUAAAGCUGUUGCGGUUAAAAAGCUCAUAGUUGUAUUACAGUUGUGGACUGAUGGUUCUUCACCUUAAUUGGUGUUUACUGUCACGCUCCUAAGCUGCUCAUACAACCAAAAAGUUGUUGGGCUCCACUAGCUCGCACGGGAUGCUCUUAACCGAGUGUCCCCAGUGGCUGGUAUGUUUACUUUGAAAAAAUUAGAGUGCUCAGAGCAGGCUACUUGUAUUGCCUGAAUGACUAUGCAUGGAAUAAUGGAAUAGGACCUCGGUUCUAUUUUGUCGGUUUUCUCUGGAAUCCGAGGUAAUGAUUAAAAGAGACAAAAGGGGGCAUUUGUACUGUGACGCUAGAGGUGAAAUCUUGGACCGUCACACAGACAAACAACUGCGAAAGCAUUGCCAAGGAUGUUUUCAUUAAUCAAGAACGAAAGUUAGAGGUUCGAAGGCGAUCAGAUACCGCCCUAGUUCUAACCAUAAACGAUGCUAACCAGCAAUCCGCCGGCGUUAUUCCCAUGACCCGGCGGGCAGCUUCCGGGAAACCAAAGUCUUUGAGCUCUGGGGGAAGUAUGGUUGCAAAGCUGAAACUUAAAGGAAUUGACGGAAGGGCACCACCAGGAGUGGAGCCUGCGGCUUAAUUUGACUCAACACGGGGAACCUCACCAGGCCCAGACACUGGAAGGAUUGACAGAUUGAGAGCUCUUUCUUGAUUCAGUGGGUGGUGGUGCAUGGCCGUUCUUAGUUGGUGGAGUGAUUUGUCUGGUUAAUUCCGAUAACGAACGAGACUCUGACCUACUAAAUAGUCGACGGAUUUCCAAAAGUCUGGUGUCCAGUCGCAACUUCUUCUUAGAGGGAUAAGUGGUAUUCCCUAGCCACAUGAGAUUGAGCAAUAACAGGUCUGUGAUGCCCUUAGAUGUUCUGGGCCGCACGCGCGCUACACUGAAGGGAUCAGAGUGUUUUCCCCUCCGAGAGGAGCGGGUAACCAGUUGAACCCCCUUCGUGAUAGGGAUUGGGGCUUGCAAUUGUUUCCCAUGAACGAGGAAUUCCCAGUAAGCGCAAGUUAUCAGCUUGCGUUGAUUAAGUCCCUGCCCUUUGUACACACCGCCCGUCGCUACUACCGAUUGGAUGGUUUAGUGAGGCCUUCGGACUGUCGCCCUUGGAUUCUACCGUUCUGGCUCCUAAGAGUCAGAUGCAAGUGUUCCUUGGGCUGACGGAAAGAUGUCCAAACUUGAUCAUCUAGAGGAAGUAAA